AAUCGAAAGUGCGUUAUAUCGACUAGAGGGUGGGUGAAUAGGAGAUUUUUAGAAUUUCAUCACCGAGGAAAUUCCUUUUGAGGAAAUUCCUCACUGAUGACUAACUUACAACGGAAACAGUAAAGGAUCAAAAGUGCAAAGUUUCACAACAACAGUUUUUCAGAGUGAAGAAUGUGGAAACAGAUUGCACUGUGGGCAGGCACGCAUAAUACAGAUGAGGAUUAAUUGACGGGAAGAAUUUGGGGUUGAGGAAAUUCAGAGAAAGUCUUCAGCAAAUUCUUCAAACAGUCACAGUGAAAGUCAUCAACACAUAAUAUGAGGAAAGUAAGGAGUUGAGGAAUUAGAACCCGUUUCUCAGUGAAGACAGUCGUUGAUGACCCAGUUCCAACUGCUGUGACAGUCGUACAUCUGGUUUGGAGCGGCUUGGUAUUGAAACCAAAGGACAC
rnacentral:lncRNA from 1 species